AUCGGGGUUGCGGACAGUGCCUGGUGGGUAGUUUGACUGGGGCGGUCUCCUCCCAAAGAGUAACGGAGGAGCACGAAGGUGGGCUAAUCACGGUUGGACAUCGUGAGGUUAGUGCAAUGGCAUAAGCCCGCUUGACUGCGAGAAUGACAAUUCGAGCAGGUGCGAAAGCAGGUCAUAGUGAUCCGGUGGUUCUGAAUGGAAGGGCCAUCGCUCAACGGAUAAAAGGUACUCCGGGGAUAACAGGCUGAUACCGCCCAAGAGUUCAUAUCGACGGCGGUGUUUGGCACCUCGAUGUCGGCUCAUCACAUCCUGGGGCUGAAGUCGGUCCCAAGGGUAUGGCUGUUCGCCAUUUAAAGUGGUACGCGAGCUGGGUUUAGAACGUCGUGAGACAGUUCGGUCCCUAUCUGCCGUGGGCGUUGGAAGAUUGAAGGGGGCUGCUCCUAGUACGAGAGGACCGGAGUGGACGAACCUCUGGUGUUCGGGUUGUGUCGCCAGACGCAUUGCCCGGUAGCUAAGUUCGGAAUCGAUAACCGCUGAAAGCAUCUAAGCGGGAAGCGAGCCCUGAGAUGAGUCUUCCCUGAUACUUUAAGUAUCCUAAAGGGUUGUCGGAGACUACGACGUUGAUAGGUCAGGUGUGUAAGUGCUGUGAGGCAUUGAGCUAACUGAUACUAAUUGCCCGUGAGGCUUAACCAUACAACACCCAAGGGGUUU
rnacentral:rRNA from 3 species